rnacentral:sRNA from 1 species
UAAACCACCCGCACAGUUUUUAAAAACAC